rnacentral:tRNA from 1 species
GGUUGUGGCUCAAUGGUAGAGUACUUGCCUAGCAUGGUGAGGCCCUGGGUUCAAUCCCCAGCAUCA